rnacentral:ncRNA from 1 species
ACAGUGAUGUUAUGGAUGAAGAAAAAGGCUAGCAAAAUCCUUGAGCCUACGCAUAGAAACUUGAUGAGGCGAAAUUCUGGAUAAGGUUAUAUAACAAACUGAAGUCCAAAAGGUAAACGUAUAACCAAGACAGUAAAUCAAGAGGUUGUGAGAU